rnacentral:rRNA from 1 species
CUCUGGUGUACCUGUCGUUCCGCCAGGAGCGCAGCAGGGUAGCUAUGCAUGGACGGGAUAACCGCUGAAAGCAUCUAAGCGGGAAGCCUCCCUCAAGAUAAGGUAUCAUAGAGUCGUGGUAGACCACCACGUUGAUAGGCCGGGUGUGGAAGUGCGGUAACGCAUGAAGCUAACCGGUCCUAAUAACUCUGUUCAUGCUUGA